AUUGAACGCUGGCGGCAUGCCUUACACAUGCAAGUCGAACGGCAGCGCGGGGCAACCUGGCGGCGAGUGGCGAACGGGUGAGUAAAAUAUCGGAACAUACCCUAGAGUGGGGGAUAACGUAGCGAAAGUUACGCUAAUACCGCAUACGCACUAAGGUGGAAAGUGGGGGAUCUUCGGACCUCAUGCUCAUGGAGUGGCCGAUAUCUGAUUAGCUAGUUGGUGAGGUAAAGGCUCACCAAGGCGACGAUCAGUAGCUGGUUUGAGAGAACGACCAGCCACACUGGAACUGAGACACGGUCCAGACUCCUACGGGAGGCAGCAGUGGGGAAUUUUGGACAAUGGGGGCAACCCUGAUCCAGCAACGCCGCGUGAGUGAAGAAGGCCUUC
rnacentral:rRNA from 1 species